AGGUUCUGGGAUUCACCACACCACAAAUUUUCAAAGAUAUCAAUAAAAGGUUGUUUUAAAUAUCAUCUAGAUAGAAGAUCACCCACCCAACUGUGAUCACAGAACUAGAGAACUAUGAGUGAAGGAGUGGGUAAAUCUGGAGUGCAGUCAUGCAUCUGGCUCAGGGAAUAACCAAACAGCCUCUGCACAGCUCAAAGCAAAUACCUGUUUAUCUGCAUGCUAAAUACAUACAUACUUCUUACAUGAAUACAUAGAGAGGAACAUUGAAUAGCAGAGGAUUUUAUAUUAUGUUUCCAAAUAUUCCCAUUUUAAAAUACUUUAUUUUAUAUAUCCAAAAUUUCAAACCCACAUAGCUUUCAAGGCAGUUUUUCAUAUUCUUUCUACUCAGUAAGUCUGUUCUUACACAGAACAAUGUCUAUAAAGAUGAGUUAUCCAACCUUGAUAAAAGCUUGAAAGCAAAGCUUCCUUACUUGUUUUUAGACUGGUUUACAAACCAAUACUUCUUUCUUUUUAAUUUUUUUUCAUAAAGGAUACAUAAAUAUUAGUCAUUUCUUGUCAAUAUUCCACCCUGGAUAUACAGAGGUGUAUAAUUCUGUGCAAAGCAGCCUCAACCAAAAGCAAUACCUGGCUCCAGUUUAACCUGAAGCUUGCUGACCGGGUUGUCUUCUCCAAGGAGCUUCAUCUGUCUGUGGAGAGCAUCGAGGCGGAA